rnacentral:rRNA from 1 species
AUUGAAAGCUGGCGGCAUGCCUUACACAUGCAAGUCGAACGGUAACAGGUCUUCGGAUGCUGACGAGUGGAGAACGGGUGAGUAAUACAUCGGAACGUGCCUAGUAGUGGGGGAUAACUAAUCGAAAGAGCGGCUAAUACAGCAUGAGAUAUACGGAUGAAAGCAGGGGAUAGCAAGACCUUGUGCUACUAAAGCGGCCGAGGGCAGAUUAGGUAGUUGGUGGAAUAAAAGAUUACCAAGCCGACGAUCUGUAGCUAGUCUGAGAGGACGAUCAGCCACACUGGGACUGAAACACAGCCCAGACGACUACAAGAGUCACCGAUGGGAAAGUUUGUACAAUGGUCGAAAGCCUGAUCCAGCAAUGCCGCGUGCAGGAUGAAGGCCUUCGGGUUGUAAACUGCUUUUGUACGGAACGAAAAGCCCCGGGUUAAUACCCUGGGGUCAUGACGUUACCGUAAGAAUAAGCACCGGCUAACUACGUGCCAGCCGCCGCAGUAA